rnacentral:tRNA from 1 species
UCCCUUGUAGCUCAGUUGGUAGAGAAUCUGCCUGCCGUGCAGGAGACCCGGGUUCGAUCCCUGGGUUGGGAA